UGCGUGAGAUCGAUCAGGAGGAGGAGAAAAUGGGUGUAAACCCUAGUUCACAAGCAAGCUACAAAUUGACAAGGAGAUUAGGCUCAAAUCCGAUGCAUGAACUCGUUUUCUUGACAAUCUAUCCCUAGCAAGCAUGUGGAGUCAUGUCAAGACGGACUCAAGCAUGAAAGGCUAACGGGUCAAGAGGAGGCAAGGAAUCGGAUACGAACCCGGAUGCACAAGGUAGUACGAGUCAUGAGGAUCAUCAAGGAACAGAGAUCGAGGA